GCCAUGACAUGCCCAAGAGCAUCGGGAGCUAAGGGAGCUAAAUGUUCUAAAAUGGCUAACCCAAAUAAACCUUUCUUCUUUCUAAGUUCAUUACCUCAGGCAUUUUGCUAUACUGGAAUUCUGCCUGACACAGCAGGUGGCCUUUAUGUCCCUAUUCUGAUUGUGCCUUGUACUUUCUUCCCUCUCACCUGCAGGCCUCGGCAGUGGGAUGGCCUACCUGCCUGCAGUGGUCAUGGUGGGAAGGUACUUUCAGAAGAGACGAGCCCUGGCCCAGGGCCUCAGUACCACAGGGACAGGAUUUGGGACAUUCCUGAUGACCGUGCUGCUGAAGUACCUGUGUGCAGAAUAUGGCUGGCGGAAUGCCAUGUUCAUCCAAGGUGCUCUGUCCCUGAACUUGUGUGUUUGUGGGGCGCUCAUGAGGCCCCUCUCUCCUGAGAAAG
rnacentral:lncRNA from 1 species